rnacentral:lncRNA from 1 species
AGAGCUCAGAAUCAUUGACAAUGGUUGUUGAAAACACAAUGAAUGGUGGCAAGGCGGCUGCCUUUCUCAUUUUCACGCCUACCGUCGCCGUUCAUUACCACCGCUGUUGCUAGCAUGCUCACCGAAGCCAGCUGCACCUAUGACCGGCUUCAUGGCGCCUCCGAAGCCCGCCACCACCUGCUGGACGACACCGCUGCUUCUUCC